AUCUGUUUUCUUCUGAAAAGGCUGUUGCAUUUGGUGCCAUCAUUUUAAUUUUCAGUGCUGGACGCUCUGGCAUUUCUGCCUCUUCGUUUCCCCAUCUCCUGGGCCCAAAGAAGUUGCUCAGGUCUGAACCUGCUCCUCAGAACAGGGGUGUUCCAGGCUCCUCAAAUUUGCCAGCCUGCUUUACUCAUUGAAGCCUCCCCCACUCCUUGCUAAUGAUAUGAACCAAUGGCAAGAGAACUGUCUUCCCCUUAGAUAAAUGAUUUGAAGUCACUUAACGUUUCUGCUCCUUACUUUCCUCAUUUGCAAGAGAGAAAAAAAUGACAAAAAUAUCAGACUUGACAGGUAUAACAAAAGCUACUUAAAUUUCAGGGGCACAGGGGAUCUAUGUCCCUGGGAGCUGGCUACCUGUGCCCCUGGGGACACCAGGGAGAUCCAUCUUUAGCAAUUUCAUCCAGGAGACCCCAGAGAAGGGACCAAGGCUGCCAACAUGUUCCCCACCCCCGGAGGCUGUUUAUUCUGCAGAAGAUAAGGCUGCUCUGUAUAAAACAAAGGUUAGUGCAGGGAAGAGAAGCUGACCAAACAAUCUCGGGAGAGAGAUUGCUUUUAAAACUCCCAGAACCACAAGACCUGUGCUCUGAUGAAUGCAGGCACCAUGAGAGCCUGCAGCAGGGGCACAAACUGAAACUGCAGAGAAGGACAAAGAAGGACGCACGGGAUCUGCCAGACAAGUUUAAAAAAGGUCCCAAUGAGUCGUUCCCUUUCCUGAUUAUGGACCUUGAGUGCCACGCGUAAACUCUGAGUCAGGAAAUCAACUCCGGGAAGCACUAAGGAACCAACACAGACACGUGGGACAAAUAAAGGAACUUGUUCCAGGAUGAUGAACACAACCUAGUUACCCAAAGCCCAGCGUGGUCGCGGACUCCGGGUUGAUGUUGAAACCCGAGGAGUAAAGAAGGGCCACGAGAGCCUGUGUCUCGGGUAAGGGCCAUCACCCCAGAUGAAACGCAUGGCCCCAAACACUGCAGUUUACCCCCGAUCAAUCAGACGUAUCUCCCAGCAGCUCCGCUCCGGGAUCCUUCUGUUACACCGAUCAUAAAGGUCUUAACAUCUCAUUUGGAAGGUGGCAUUUAAAAUAAGUUCUCUCAUUUUUCAUGUUAGG
rnacentral:lncRNA from 9 species